rnacentral:rRNA from 1 species
UACGGAGGGGGCUAGCGUUGUUCGGAAUUACUGGGCGUAAGGCGCGCGUAGGCGGCUUUGUAAGUUAGAGGUGAAAGCCCGGAGCUCAACUCCGGAAUUGCCUUUAAGACUGCAUCGCUAGAAUCAUGGAGAGGUGAGUGGAAUUCCGAGUGUAGAGGUGAAAUUCGUAGAUAUUCGGAAGAACACCAGUGGCGAAGGCGACUCACUGGACAUGUAUUGACGCUGAGGUGCGAAAGCGUGGGGAGCAAACAGG